rnacentral:rRNA from 1 species
ACCCUUUAAUGUUUGAUGUUCUAACGUGGACCCGUAAUCCGGGUUGCGGACAGUGUCUGGUGGGUAGUUUGACUGGGGCGGUCUCCUCCUAAAGAGUAACGGAGGAGCACGAAGGUUGGCUAAUCCUGGUCGGACAUCAGGAGGUUAGUGCAAUGGCAUAAGCCAGCUUGACUGCGAGCGUGACGGCGCGAGCAGGUGCGAAAGCAGGUCAUAGUGAUCCGGUGGUUCUGAAUGGAAGGGCCAUCGCUCAACGGAUAAAAGGUACUCCGGGGAUAACAGGCUGAUACCGCCCAAGAGUUCAUAUCGACGGCGGUGUUUGGCACCUCGAUGUCGGCUCAUCACAUCCUGGGGCUGAAGUAGGUCCCAAGGGUAUGGCUGUUCGCCAUUUAAAGUGGUACGCGAGCUGGGUUUAGAACGUCGUGAGACAGUUCGGUCCCUAUC